rnacentral:rRNA from 1 species
UACGUAGGCAGCGAGCGUUGUUCGGAGUUACUGGGCGUAAAGGGUGUGUAGGCGGUUGUUUAAGUUUGGUGUGAAAUCUCCCGGCUUAACUGGGAGGGUGCGCUAUAGACUGUGGGGCUAGAGUGUGGGAGAGGAAAGUGGAAUUCCUGGUGUAGCGGUGAAAUGCGUAGAUAUCAGGAGGAACACCGGUGGUGUAAACGGCUUUCUGGACCAUAACUGACGCUGAGGCACGAAAGCGUGGGUAGCAAACAGG